rnacentral:lncRNA from 1 species
AAGAUUUAGAGAUAUAAACACAGGGAUUAAGUAUACCACAUUCUGGAGAGCUGCCCAACCUUAGGGGCCAGAGAAAGCCCUUUCCCCAGUCAUCCAGAGUGGAAGUGAUCCUGAUAUAAUCAAUAGUCUCCUUCUCGCUGCGCCCCCAGCCCCGCCUCCGAAAGUCCAAGUAUCAGAAGACUGGAGAAAGGGAAGGAAGAGGGUUAGAGUCCCGAAACAUCCUUGAAGGGCACACAGUGGAUCCUCACCCUAUCGCAUUUGCUCAUGGGCUUAGGCAGCUGCGUUCUGCCAGAGCAAGAGGGAAAUGUUGAAGGGGUUUGCUACCUAUCUGCCGUCUGCCAUCUGACAAAGAAAGGGUAUGAAUUUGUGCAGGCCAGGUACUCAGAAAGGGGCUCCUGAGAAGACUGUGGGAGUACCUGGGGGAGCAGGAACGAGAGCAGUAAGAGGGAAUCCCAAGCUGGACCCCUCCAGGCCAGGGAGAAUACGGCUGUUCAUCAGAAGAACGUGCACGUGUGCCCUUGGAUGCCCACCGCUCUGAAGGUCCUCCAUGACUAGUAAGGGUCUGCUGGAGAAUCAACACAAAGAGCCAGAGGGCACUGGCCUCUUCCUUAAAGGGAUAUUCAUGCUCUUCUCUCUCCUUUCUCCCUCCCCCUCACACACUGGAGGAGCUACAUUUUGAAGUGGCAUGAGGAGAAGGUAUUUUUCCACUCCAAGCUGCUGAAGUUGACUCUGGAGAGGAGAGAAGAGACGAUUUAAGGCAAGUGUGAGGGUAAAUGUAAAAACUGGAUUAGCUUUUUGAAAAUUGAAAGUGACCAGAAGGUGUGGACCACACCCCAGUGUCAUUAGAGGCUCUAUUUUGGUUUUUUUUUUCCUUGCACCAUGAUGCAGUCUCAUCACACUGUAUUCUGUGGGUGGAACAUCCAGGUGGCAAAUUGUCAAAAAGAUAUUUGGAUAUGGGCAUGAGAUUAUUAUAUAUAUAAGCAAGAGAGGGAAUCCAUCCUAUUUAGUCAUCAUAAAGCCCAAGAGUCACUCCUCCCUUUCUUUGUCCUUUAGGCAGAUACGUUAAAGAAAUCCACAUAAACACACAAGCAAAACAGUGCCUCUUUCAUCUGUUUUACAUGAAAAAAUGAUUAAAAAUUAAAAACCCCACUGUUUCAGGAUAUCAUCAUAGAAUUUUAAACUUUUUAAGUUACAAAGAAAUUUUAGAGGCCGUCUGACCCAUUGCCCUACUUUGAUUCCAGGACAUUCCCCCAACGCCCACAUACCCAUACGUCCAGGUGAACUAGUAUUACCAAAAUUGUUAUUAAAAUCCCUGUCCCCUCAAAACAAGAAAAAUCCGGUGUUUUUCCUUUGGGACUACUGUUAGGUAGGUGUUAGAAGAAUAUCAGUGUGGUUGCAACUUUUUCAUUAAAUGUUCCUCGGUUUCUUAACUUCUGGACAUACUUAUUUUCUUGAAAAGAUGAUGUUAAGUUCAAUAAAGCUGUUAUUUUGUGGAAGGAUGAGGAGUUUGACAAAAUGAAGUGAGAACAUUCAGGAAAUGUGGGAGCUUUCUUUGCAUAUAGGUUAGUCAUCGGUUGCCAUUUUAGCAGACUGGUUGUUAGCAGGACUUGGGAAUCUGCCUGAAGGUCAAUUCCUCUAAAUUGUUUCAACUUCUCCUAAUUAAUACCCCUUCCACUUCCAAACCGACAUCUUCUCUAAAAGAGUGGGAAGGUGUUCGGUGCUGUGUGCCAGCGUUGUAGGUUCAAGUACAUAAUUGCUAACAAAAUUGCCUUAAAGAACUUCAAACCACAAGCAUUUUAUGAAUGAAACCUAGGCUCGAAUAGGUAAGGAACAGAAAAAUCCAAGGCAUUGUCCGUUCCUUUAAAAUUUUUUUUUUUUUACUAAAUUAUAGCUGAUUUACAAUGUUGUGUCAAUUUCUGCUGUACAGCAAAGUGACCCAGUCACACAUACCUAUAUAUUCUUUUUUCUCGUUGUAUCUUCCAUCAUAUUCUACCCCAAGAGACUGGACAUAGUUCCCUGUGCUGUACAGCAGCACCUCAUUGCUUACCCAUUCUAAACGUAAUAGUUUAAUAUGUUUAAUGCAUCUAAUAAUCCCAGCCUUCCUGUCCAGCCCACUCCCUCCCCCUCUGUCCAUUCUUUUAUGCCCUUUUGUAAGAAGACAUACAUUUGCAAACUAGGAUGGACAACUGCUUUCCCCCCUUUUCCUAUGAUUAAUUAACAGAGGCCUUAAUAAUUGCAAAAUGUCCAAAAAGCCGACCUGACCAAAGGGUGUUAAAACUAAGCUUUUUGUCACGUAAGAGGCUGGAAAUCAUUGGGGUUCUCUCACCUGUACACUCUCAUCAUGCAGUCGAGGCGGGGGGUGGGGGUGCCCUCCUUCAUCACUGGCCCCGGAAUUCCUGCCUGGCUUAGACCCUUGGGAGGGAGCUCUUUUUUCUCUCUCUCUCUCUCUGCCAUCUCUGAUUCAAGUAGGUCCAUCUGGAAGUAAUAUUACCCAAGCGUUUAUACCCCGAGCCUAGCUCUCCACAAGUAACUGCAUGUUUCCUGAAACCAACUAUUGGCAGCUGUUACAUAGGCAUUUUCUGCUUUUUAGAUACCUAUAAUUACACCAAUUAUGCCAAUCAUUGAUGUUUAUAAAGGAUUUAAAUUUUACACACCCAGAAGAGUCUAUCAGAAAGCAGCAUCUGAGGCAGAGUGACACCCCAUAGAGGGGCCAAUUUGGCCAUUGCAAUUGCUCCUGGGAGUCCCUUAAAUUGAGCUGACAACAGAGUGAGUGAGGCUUCCUAGGAGCCUCUAUGUCUUAGGCAAGUUAAUCCUGUCACUGGAAUACAUUUCUCUUUGGUUAAGGACGCAAUCUAACUUUUAUUUUCAAAGGAAAGAACACCGUAUCGAGUUUUGACCUCGAACUUUCUGAACCAAAACAUGAUGAUGAGAUGGUCGGCAUUCCUCUGUCCCAGGCUGCACCUUUGGAUACAGUAAAAGACUGGGAGAGGACCGUCUAGUCAGCACGCUGAAGGUGGAAGGCAAAAGGCCAUCCUGGCAGUGCCCAGCUGAGCCAACAUUAGAGCCUGGGGCAAAGGGAAUAUACAAUAAUCCUGAUCCUGUAUUUAAGAUUUUAAGACUUGGGUUCAUCAUGGAUUUUUUUUUUUUUUUUGCAUUGAGUUUGAUUAUUUUUUUUGAAAUACUGCAUUAGGAUAUAGUUAUCUCGAUUACUGAGUUUUUUGGAUCCCCCUUAAAUUUAGUGCCUGGUGCCAGUGCCUCACUUGCCUUGCCCUAGUCUGGGUUCCUGGGUGGCGGGUUAGGUGUGUGGUUUGGUAGCUUGGUGAAUGGUCCUUACAUCUGAGUCUUUUCUUUUCUUUUUUUUUGGCUAUUUUUCAUACUUGCAGCAUAUGAAAGUUCCCAGGCUAGGAGUUGAAUUGGAGCUGUAGCCACCAGCCUAUGCCAGAGCCACAGCAACUCUAGAUCUGAGAAGCGUCUGCGACCUACACCACAGCUCACAGCAAGACUGGAUCCUUAAGCCACUGAUCAAGGCCAGGAAUUGAACCCUCAUCCUCAUGGAUUCUAGUCGGGUACAUUAACCACUGAGCCACAAAGGGAACUCCUCUAGGUCCUUUUUAUAUGCCUUUAAAUGCAAUUUAUUUGACUUUAAUGGUUAGUAUUUGAGGAUUGUCUAGGGUGCUGGUUAAAAACACGGAUUUCCAGACCUCAUGCCCAGAAAUUUGGACUUCCUGUGCCAAGGUAGAAUUCUGAUCUCUGCCUGUAUCUGCGUUUUUAGAUAAAAAUGUCUCUGAGGCAGGUGAUUUACAAGCCACACUUGUUUAAAAGCCUCCUUUGAGGGGAUGGUUCUCUUUUGUGGGCUCUACCCUGUUCCAUCAGGGACAAAGGGGAUUACUGGGGAUUGGCAAUGCCUGUGGAAUAACUACCAAAAAAGUAACAGUAACAAAGUUAGGCUCCAAACUGGCCCGGGGCCCCGUAAGGAGCGGAGGCUCAGAGCCAGAAAUUUCUGUUAGAGUAGGCUGUUAGCUAUCUCCUGCAGGUAGGGUUUUCUGAUAAUUCAGCAGGCAUUUAAUAAAAUAACACGUGUAAGCAUUUGAUAGCUAAAAGCAGCUCACCAACGCAAGAAGUUCUGUUGGUACCUGUAUUCGGUGUUUUUAGAGACACUUAGGACGUUCCACAGAGCUUCACCUUCCUUUACAAUCCCCAUCUGGCCAAGUUCUCUAAAUUUAAUAGGAUUAUCCCCGCAAGGAGUGCUUUCCUAGUACUUCUCAAAUUGAGGCCUGAAGACCACCUCUUUAUUGUGCAAUCCACAGACCUACAAGGUGAAUCUUCCUGAAACUGUUAUCUGGAGCUCCCCCAAAUGUUUUCUCCCAGCCUCAGGCACUUGUGGGAAGGUGCAGCAUUAUCUAAAUCAAGAUGGGAAGAGCUUCCUGACAGCAGGAGCUGACACUCAGAGGGAAGGUGCUGUGCAGCUGUGUGGAUUACCUGCUGUACUUGGUUCUCGGCGGGCUGGCUGGGACUUUACCCCUGAUCGACAGAGGCAGAAUUUGGGAAAUGGGACCCUGGGAACAGAGCCCUGAACCACUGCAGCUGGCAGUGCUGGAGGCGGUGCUCCUGGAAGCUGAAGGCUCUUCUUCUUCCUCGCCACCUUAUCACGACUUCUUCCCUGGCCAGUUUUGCAGGUGAUCCCCCAUCUCAGUUCUCUGCUGGACAUUGCACGUUUGUGAAGGGCCUUUGGAGAUCACGGACUCCAUUGCUCAGCAGAAAUCCCGAGUCAUAUGUCAGGCCAGCCCCAAACCUUCCCAGAGUUGUCCCAUCUUCUCGGAGCUCAGUCACGCUGCUGUUGUCUCUGUCCUGGCCCCCUCCCCUCAAAAUGUGGACUUUUAUUUAUUUAUUUAUUUAUUUUUGCUAUUUCUAGGGCCACUCCCUUGGCAUAUGGAGGUUCCCGGGCUAGGGGUCUAAUCGAAGCUGUAGCCACCAGCCUACGCCAGAGCCACAGCAACACGGGAUCCGAGCUGCGUCUGCGACCUACACCACAGCCCACGGCAAUGCCGGAUCCUUAACCACUGAGCGAGGCCAGGGAUCGAACCUGCAACCUCAUGGUUCCUAGUGGGAUUCGUUAACCACUGCGCCACAACGGGAACUCCUGGACUUUCUUUUAUGAAGGUGCUGAGCCUUAGCGUCCCUAUCUGAUGCUCGUUGAGCCCGCCAUUUAUCCUACUAGAAUUCUAUUUUAUGGUGGUUUUCACUGGUGUAGAAUGAUUUGGAUCCAAUUUCUUCAGUGGUACACAAGCACCGGCCUCUCCAAAUCAACUCCAUUCUUACCGGCCCACACGGGCCAGAGUGAGGCAUGCUUGGUGUUUAGGGAUUCUCUGUUAUCUUUCUAGAACAGGCUUGGCCCAGGGCAUCUGGUUAGGCGAGUCCCCACAAUGAGGCGAAAGAACGAAGUGCCUCCUCUGAAAAGCAGGAGCAGAAGAGAUUUCUGCCCUAGCCUUUGCCUGCUCUGCUGUAGAAAGGGGCCUUCUAGCUCUCAAGAUUUCUGCUUUACUGUUUCGGCAGGUGGAGAGCCUUUUAACCUCCCCAUUUUUCAUUUUGGGGAGAUGGGGAGCAGGGAAAGCGCAUGGGCUGGGAGGUGUAGGGAAGGGUAGAGAGGGAACCCAGCCUGGGAAUUAUCAGAAAGGAAUCAAUGGAUUUUCUGUUUUCUGUUUGGAAGUUAACAGAAUGAAGUUAAAGGGCAGAUGGAGUUUCUCUGUCCACAUCCUUUGCGCGCUCACACACACACACACACACACACACACACACCCUUGGUUCCUUAUGUCACACUAUUUCUGCCACCGUUCUCCUAUUGCAUUGCUCUGAAGAGGAAGGUGAUUUUUUGAAAGACAUUUGAUUCACCUAAUGGAAGAGGAAGCAAACAGGGAGAUGAGAUCAGGGGGAUUUCUGGGAAAGAAAGCGUGAAACACAAGGGACAAAAGAGUGAGUCAUCGGGCCAGAAGCGUUCAUGAGAGACCAUCUGGCUCAGUGCUUCCCAGUAUUUUUUUUUUAGGGUUAUUUGUAAAUUCUACUUUGGUUAAUAAUUACCUGUUUUGCUGCAUUAGGAAGGCGCGGGUGGUGUGUUUAUUAAUUUACUUCGGACAAUGAACAUUUGUAUAGGGAUUGAGGAAGGACGUUACAUUUGGGUUUAGCCAUCAAAAAUGAGCCUUGAGGGGAAAAACUUAUCUGCCUGAUCAGGAAAAGGAGAAACAAAGGUAGAAUAAGUUGGCAAACCCUGGUUCACUUUUUUUUGCUUGUUGGGGAAGUGGGAAAGUCCCCUUUUCCAGCCUGGUGGCUGCCAAUGGGCAGCUCCUCGAUUCCCAGCCUCCCCUCCACCAGGACGGGCCAUGUGUCCCUCAAGAUGAGCCGAGGGAAAGGCAGCGGGGGAGGGAAGGGGAUGUCGAGAACAAUCGUCUUGCCAGUUCAUGGGUGAGAGACCUUUGAUGAGUGCCUGUUCCUGUUUCCUUCCUGUUUGGAGCAGCUGCAGUGGCUUAUCCUGUGGCCAUGAGAGAACCAUGGAGAUGCUGACCCAGAGCCGUGACACUAACUAUGGAACCAGUUCAAGAACAGCGCUGCUCGGCUUCUUGUUCCACAGGGAAAACACAUUCACAUUGACCAAGAUGCUUGCAGUCAGGUGGUCUGUGCCUUACAAACAAAAUCUUACCCCAUACAGAGAGAGAUCAUUUUCACGUAAAAAAUAUUGAUUAGCGGAGUUCCCAUUGGGGCUCAGCAGAAGCAAAUCCGACUAGUAACCAUAAGGUUGCGGGUUCGAUCCCUGGUCUUGAGAAAGGACUUGGUUAAGGACUCGGCAUUGCCGAGAGCUGUGGCGUAGGUCGCAGACGCGGCUUAGAUCCCGUGUUGCUGUGGUUCUGAUUCAACCCCUAGCCUGGGAAUCUCCAUAUGCCUUGGGUGCAGCCCUAAAUACAUUUUUUUAAAAAGGCAAAAAUAUUGAUGAGCUUGCUCAGAGGCAAGUGACAUUACUACCAAAUGAGGACCACCACUCACGCCAUCCACAUUUAGGGACCACUUUAUGUAUUUGUGCUUUUUACAUUGUUUCAUUUCAUACUGGCCCUUUGACUUGGUUAUGAUUAUCCCCAUUUUAUAGAUGGGAAAAUUAAGUCCAGAGAGGUUAUUUAAUUUACCCCAGGUCUAAUAAGAAGUAGAAUUGAAUCUAGGUAGCAUAAUUCUGCAGUUGAUCCUCUUUUCCGCAAGGCAUAGGGCAAAAAUGUAAAGUAUGGCAUAUGCUGUAAGGUAGUUGUUCGGAAGUGGUUAGUUAUAUGUGUUGCUCAUAUGUAAUAACGUAUUUAACCAUCACAUUUACAUUGGUUAGCGUGUCCAUUUUUACAAUUACUUUUUGAUAAAGCAAUUCAAUGAGGAUUCCUUUGCAAGAUUUUCCAGUACCUGAGGACUGGAACGUUUGCCAAGAAUGAAGUCACAAAAGAAAACAAAAGGCACUUGGAAGAAUCAUCACAUCAAAUUUAUAAGUGACUUGGAGAAUGUCGGGCAGCUUUGUGAAAUGGUUUGCUGAAAUUAGAAUUUAGCUUACAUAUAAUAUUCAUAUCUACCAGAUUAGUAAGCCCCUAUUUUUAAAAAAGAAACCAGCAUGUAGUGACUUAAUUAAAUUCAGUCUGGCUCCAUGCGAUUGCUGAAUUAUUUUCUCAGUGAUCACAAUCAGUUAAACAGAAUGAAAAUCUUAAGGAGUUCCCUCUGUGGCGGUGUCCCUGUAGCACCAGGAUGCAGGUUCGAUCCCCAACCCAGCACAGUGGGUUAAAGGAUCUGGCAUUGCUGCCUCGGUAGCAUGGGUCACAGCUGCAGCUUGGAUCUGAUCCCUGGCCCAGGAAUUCCGUAUGCUGCAGGGUGGCCAG